rnacentral:rRNA from 1 species
CACGGGGGGAGCAAGCGUUGUUCGGAUUCACUGGGCGUAAAGGGUGCGUAGGCGGCCAGGUAAGUCUGCUGUGAAAUCCCGCAGCUCAACUGCGGAACUGCAUUGGAAACUAUCUGGCUAGAGGAAUGGAGGGGAGACUGGAAUUCUCGGUGUAGCAGUGAAAUGCGUAGAUAUCGAGAGGAACACCAGUGGCGAAGGCGAGUCUCUGGACAUUUCCUGACGCUGAGGCACGAAAGCCAGGGGAGCAAACGGG